rnacentral:rRNA from 1 species
CCUACGGGAGGCAGCAGUGGGGAAUCUUGCACAAUGGGGGAAAGCCUGAUGCAGCGACGCCGCGUGAGUGAAGAAGUUCUUCGUUAUGUAAAGCUCUAUCAGUAGGGAAGAAAAUGACGGUACGUGAGUAAGAAGCUCUUGCUAAAUACGUGCCAGCAGCCGCGGUCAUACGUAGGGGGCAAGCGUUAUCCGGAUUUAAGGGGGGAAAAGGGAGCGGAGAGGGCAGUGCAAGUCUGGAGUGAAAGGCGGGGGCUCAACCCCCGGACUGCUCUGGCAACUGUACUGCUGGAGGGCAGGAGAGGUACGUGGAAUUCCUUGUGUAGCGGUUAAAUGCGUAGAUAUUUGGCGGAACCCCAGUGGCGAAGGCGGCUUACUGGACUGUAACUGACGUUGAUGCUCGAAAGCGUGGGGAUCAAACAGGAUUAGAUACCCGUGUAGUC